GACGAACGCUGGCGGCGUGCUUAACACAUGCAAGUCGAACGGAAAGGCCCUGCUUUUGUGGGGUGCUCGAGUGGCGAACGGGUGAGUAACACGUGAGUAACCUGCCCUUGACUUUGGGAUAACUUCAGGAAACUGGGGCUAAUACCGGAUAGGAGCUCCUGCUGCAUGGUGGGGGUUGGAAAGUUUCGGCGGUUGGGGAUGGACUCGCGGCUUAUCAGCUUGUUGGUGGGGUAGUGGCUUACCAAGGCUUUGACGGGUAGCCGGCCUGAGAGGGUGACCGGCCACAUUGGGACUGAGAUACGGCCCAGACUCCUAUGGGAGGCAGCAGUGGGGAAUAUUGCACAAUGGGCGGAAGCCUGAUGCAGCAACGCCGCGUGCGGGAUGACGGCCUUCGGGUUGUAAACCGCUUUCGCCUGUGACGAAGCGUGAGUGACGGUAAUGGGUAAAGAAGCACCGGCUAACUACG
rnacentral:rRNA from 1 species